GAUGAACCCUGGGGCUUUAACAUGCUUGGAGAAAGCUGAUUGUAUAAGAAAGGCUUUUCUCUACUUUUGUCCUGUACUAAUGGGAACGAGCCCCAGAUGAAGCUUGUGGCGAAACAGCUCUCUAUCCUGGGGUCGCUGUCGUGGUUUGUCCCUGGUGUGCCUUGUCCUCCAUCUAUUAUUAUCAGUCAUUACAGAGCAGGUUGCUUGUGUUCUUCGAAUGAAGGCUUCAUGAUUUGAACUACAUGCAUUUAUUACAUCUUACUGAAUACAUUGUCUCCUCCCUUUGUAUUUGAGGACUCAUUACCUGUACUGUAUGUACUCUUCAAUUUCUCAUUUUGAAGACAUCUUGGACUUUGUUUGGACAUCUGUAUAUACUGGUUUCUCAUUCUUUCAUUGUAUUUUGCAAUUCUACUUGGUAUCUUAUUGUAUUUUUAUAUGUGUUAUAUAGAUGUGUUUGCUUAUUUUCA